UACAUUUUGGUGUAAGGUGCACAUAAAUUUUUGGUGUUUAUAGGAUUACAGUUUAAGUCUGUUAAAUGUAA
rnacentral:tRNA from 1 species